UACAGAGGUCUCAAGCGUUAAUCGGAAUUACUGGGCGUAAAGGGUGCGUAGGCGGUUGUUUAAGUCUGUCGUGAAAUCCCCGGGCUCAACCUGGGAAUGGCGAUGGAUACUGGGUAGCUAGAGUGUGUCAGAGGAUGGUGGAAUUCCCGGUGUAGCGGUGAAAUGCGUAGAGAUCGGGAGGAACAUCAGUGGCGAAGGCGGCCAUCUGGGACAACACUGACGCUGAAGCACGAAAGCGUGGGGAGCAAACAGG
rnacentral:rRNA from 1 species